UAUAUAUUUUUUCCUACCUACGUGACUUUACCGAAAGAACCAAAGAUUACAGAAUACCACUUCCUGGUUUAUCGAGGGCAGUUCAAACCACCAGAUAAACAUGUUCCUCUUUUCUGCACAAAAUAUUAUCAAGGUCUGUUCAUCAUUUAAUCAGCACAGUUAAUAUAUCAGAGUGAAUAAAGCAUAGGCAGUGAGUGUUUUAACCUUCAAUAAAUUUGCCUAUAGGAAUAUUCAAUUCUUGAUCCCAAAAACUAUACCUUAAACUUAUAUACGGAAGUCACGCAAUGGACCACAAAGCCAUGAGAGGUCUCAUUCCAUCAUCUGGUCUAAUUCCAUUAUUAUUUAGCACAUGUUGAGAUCCCACUUCUAAUAUUUAACUUCUGGUUACCUCUGUGACUUCUGUGACACACGUGGCAACACCAUGCACUCAGAUCGGUGGCAGUUAUACAGUAUAUAUUUUUUCUGUACAGCUCCAGUGACCUUUGACUGAAGGUGAUGGCUGAUUGACUUAUCCACCGCCACUUUAUUCGACUGAUGAUUUAUCUGUCAGCCUUCCAGGGGAGGAGAGUGGAGAGGCGUGACGUCACCAGGCAAUAAUUAGAGGCUACAUAAGUGCCCGCUUGCACGGGUGCAUGCAAACAGUACAGCUUUAAUGGUAUAGCCCCACUGAGAUCACCCAGCUUCGGUUCUGCGUUUCUCAGUGCCACGCUAUGAAUGUAUCUGUCAUAUACUGACGGUGGCACACAACGUCGAACUGCAUCGCAUUAGUAUUGACAGUGCCGUGGUAUAUAAAGCAGCAGUGAGGCUUUAUUAGGCAGGGAGUGGUUGGUUUUGCUCUGCUCCACUAUGGAUUAAAUUCAAUCCUCCGUGUGCUGGAGGCUCAUGCGCUGAUGAUGAACCCCUGACCCCUUUUCUGCCAUGCUCUACAGACGUAAUUUGCAGUCCAAGGCCUACUCGAGAUAUUUCGGCCAGAAUUCACGCCUGCAUCGCAACACCCUACAUUGUGAUCCCAGCGAUGCCGCUGAGCAAUUUGCAUGUCAUCCUGCCUCCCGAAGGCUGGAAACCCCUGACAAGCCAUGCCCGGCGUGACGUGACUGGUGAUGCCGAUGAUGUCAAGUCCGGCCCAUGACCUCCCAUCCAGCGGCAUGCAUGGGAAGGGAGGAAGGCACCUUUUUUCAUUCCAACUUUUAUGUUAUCCAAAUAGCAAAGGAAGCAAACUGAUAAUUUAUUCGAGUAAUCAAUAACUGAAAUAAUAAUCAGAUGGCCCAUCUUCAGUUGAUUUCUUAACAAGGCUGUGUACAGAACAUAUUAAUUGUAAGAACGGUGAUGUCAUCUUAACGUCACAAAGCACGCUGGUAUUUCGGUUAUGUUAUGCUGCUGAAAAUGUAGUUUGGUUUAUGUUAUCAAAUUCUCAGCAAAAAAAAAACACGGAUGGAUUAAUGCGAAUUCACAGUUAUUAGAGAAGUCACUUAAUUGCCUAUAUAAGCAUAAUCUCUUGCUGCCUGGCCAAACAGCUAAGGGCAGAUUAUCUUGGGGCAGCAUUCAAGGGUUGAGAUUGGCACAUAAAUGUAGAAUGCAACACUGCCCACGUAUAACCAUGCGGAAACAUUGCAUAAUUGCAGUACAGAGCGUGGCCUCUGCUCAGAGUUCGUUGUUUAUAAUCCAGAGCUUUUAUAGGUUUAAGUGCCUCUCAAUGUGAGUGGUAGCACAAUCUUGAACAACAGUUUAGAACUUUGCUUCUUAAACAUAGUGGUCCACCAAGUUAUGCAACUUGUGUUUCGUAAAAUGGCGCGUGGGUGGUGCUACGUGACUUCGCGAACAUUAAGCGUACAUACCUGCUUCAUGCUAGAAUAUUGUUUAGAGCAAGCACAGAGCGAGCUUUAAGCUGUAUAAAAGCUAAAUCCCCCGUGACAAGUGUGGAAAACAAAGCUGUAUUAAAGCAGCAGUAUUGUGACAAACGAAGUACUAAUGUGUCUCAACAUUUUAUUUAUCAGUGUAUUUUAUCUGAUAUUACAUGGUUCAAAAACAUUGCCAUUAAACACAAAUGAAACAAAUAAACCAAAAGUGGCCAAAGUAGCGUAGAUAUAUUUCUUAUUUUUGGAAUCAUAUUGAGAGACUGAAAGAGGAACACGUGGAGUCGGGAACAUACAAAGGUUAAAGACACAACGGAAACUGUUGACGAAAGUGUGCUCGUGCAGGACACGUUGCUUGAAGGGCUGAUGACCAAUGAUCAUGGAGUGGCAGCCAAGGGAUGGAAUCUAUAUGAGGGGAUGUCCUCGGAGGAGAUGAAGAAAUGAAAUCAACUCGAGUGUAGGUGCUGGAUGGAUUGUUUUAUCAUGGGAUUGCCAGAUAUGGCAGCGACUUGGGUAUGACUUUUCCAAGCAGCUGAUUGACGUUGGACUGAUGGUGAUUAGUAUUGUGAUGUAAAAGUUUUUUUUUAUCAAGUACAACAAUGCCAGGUCUCAAUUAAUUUUUAUCAAAUAUAUAUUUAAAUUAACGCUCAACAUUUCUAAAUUGGCAUGACUGCUUUUGAAAGCAGCUUGUCGUCUUGCAGAAGUCGUUUACUGCAUUUAAAGUUGUGCUUAUAUAUUUUUAGGAUGACUUGGUGUGCCAUGCUUCCUACAGAUUUUACAGUAACAAAAAUAGCAAGCUCAAUGACCAUGAACUAAGGUUACAUGAAAGUUGGGAUAAUGCUGAUUAGUUCUUGCCAGCAGAUGUAAAGCGAGGCUUUGUGAAAAUCCCUGCAGGUAUAAGGCAAAGCCACCCGGAUCAAACUAGCUGGGUAUAAAGUCUCUUGGUGGCCAUUUCUGAAGGCAAGAGAGCCUCUUCACACAUCUGUAGGUGUCAUACCUCUAGGCCCUGUAACAACAAGUCACGUUCACUGCCUUGGAGGCUUGCGCUGGGUGAUGAAAAUGAUUCUGCGACUCAGGCGACUGACUCCGGGCUACUUUCGGCUCCUUCAGACCCAGACGACCCAGAGGCUGGCCAUGGUUCCGCUAGGGCAGGGCAACUGGGUGGCCAUGCUCCUCGCCAUGUCCGGUUUCAGCCUCAGCGCUUUCAGCACCCAGAAGAUGACAGCGGCAGCAGUAGCAGCACCCAGAAGAUGAUGACAGCGAGAGGCGGCGGUCGGGAGAUUGACGCUCGUGGCACCGAAGCUCACGGGCGCAGGAGGUCAUAAGCAACUCCACACGGUCGCUCGUGAGAGUUGGAUCGGUAGAACUCCCUCGUAUCGGCGGUCAUUUUCGGGAAGAUCAACACUUAUCUGAUUAUCUGUAAUGCACGUAUGUAGAACUUCUUUCGCACCGUACGUAGCCGCCCGUGCUAAUCGGAGGUGCGGGGGAAGGACAAAAAACUAAGCACAAAAGCAGUUUUAAAGAAACGAGUUCAACACACCUGUGGGGUCAUCCGCGAUUUUUUUCUCCACUUAUCUGCGGGGAAAUAUUUUGCGGAUAAUGGGAUUAAUUUUUGCCGAAGACCUCUUUUCCGCAAAAAAAAUUUCCACGUAAUAUGGGUUUUUGCAACUAGUACAGCUUUUGCAGAUAAUAGGAGUCGGGGGUAAUAUGGUCAUGGAUAAGAGGGGUAUUACGAAUACAUUGUUACGUGAGAUAGUUUAUACGUAUAUACUAAUUCAAAGCACAAUAACAGCGCAAUGCAAAAUGUAAUUUGCUUAAUGCUUUGGCCAAUUGAUUUAAAUAUGGUAGCAGUGUUCGCUUUGGCUUAUCGACCUUGGUGAUAUUUGAGUGCAUUUAAACUGGAGUGUAUCGCUUAUGUAUAGAUGUUGGCACUGGUUUUUCCGUACAGUUUGCAAAGACGUUAGAUGUUGUUCUAUGGUGCCUGUAUGUUCAUUAUCCUUAGAGAUUCGUGGUGCUGGAUAUGGUGAAAGCGUGGGUUUACGUGACGCGAGCUUACUGAUGUGAAAUUGGAGUGGGUCUGACAUGGAUAUGCUGUGUCGUGCAGUUGACAGUGCACGCUCCCCGCAUUCUGUGAUACAUUCCUGUGGAAAGCAUGCAUUUUUCUUGAAGUCUCGUACUAGCUAGUUUUGUAGUAGGAUGUCAAGAGCUACUUCCAAACCUAACAAUUUGGUUAUUCACAUACCAGGUAUUGGCCAGCCCAAUCUGGCCAUUCCCAUUAAGUACCCAUAGUAGAUAUUUGUUUUGCCUUGUGAAGUAACACAUGUGUUAAAUGUUGCAGUGCAGUGGAAACGCAUUUGCAGAUGAAUAUUUACUUCGAAUUGGGCAGUGUUAAUGCUGUUUGGCAGAGUGCAAUAAUAAUGACUUUGAUUGUUUGAACCAUUUGUAUGAUUGUGUGAUGCUGUGAAAGUUUACAUUGUUGCAAUACCUUAACAUUCCUAAAAUUAAGACAAAUGUAAUGUAGUUGUUGCUGGCGUUAAUUCAGAGCUUAUUAAACGUGUAAACGCA